rnacentral:tRNA from 1 species
GCCUCCGUGGCGGAAUUGGUAGACGCGACGGACUCAAAAUCCGUUUCUCGCAAGAGAGUGUCCGUUCGAGUCGGACCGGAGGUA